GGGGGUUGAACCUAAGACUUGCUGUGUGUUAGGCAAGUGCUCUAACGCUGAACUCCACGCUCAGCUAACUUCCUCUUUUGAAGGUGGAAAACUGUGGGGUGGGCAACCGUGAGGACCACGGUGUUUCCGGAAGCAGCGAAGCCAAGCGCCGGAAUGUUUGUUCCGUGGUCCUCAGAGUUAAUCCUAUGUGAAGACUGGUACUGAACUUGGGGUCUGAGAUUAAGGCUUGAAUUGAAGGCUGGGAUCUGAACAGAGGCCAUCAGCUUCAUCCGUCUGACUUCACCACCAAAAUGCUCUGCGUCACCGCAGACCAGGACAACAGAGCUGGCUAACCAUGGACUCAGACUUCAGAAACAACUGGGCA